rnacentral:tRNA from 1 species
GCCUUUGGGAUGCAACUGGAAGUACACCCGACCGGUAAUCGGGAAGUCUGGAGUUCGAAUCUCGACGAAGGCA